rnacentral:rRNA from 1 species
CCUACGGGAGGCAGCAGUGGGGGAUAUUGCACAAUGGGGGGAACCCUGAUGCAGCGACGCCGCGUGGGUGAAGAAGCGCCUCGGCGCGUAAAGCCCUGUCAGCAGGGAAGAAAAUGACGGUACCUGAAGAAGAAGCCCCGGCUAACUACGUGCCAGCAGCCGCGGUAAUACGUAGGGGGCAAGCGUUAUCCGGAUUUACUGGGUGUAAAGGGGGCGCAGACGGCGAUGCAAGCCAGGAGUGAAAGCCCGGGGCCCAACCCCGGGACUGCUCUUGGAACUGCGUGGCUGGAGUGCAGGAGGGGCAGGCGGAAUUUCUGGUGUAGCGGUGAAAGGCGUAGAUAUCAGGAGGAACACCGGUGGCGAAGGCGGCUUGCUGGACUGCAACUGACGUUGAGGCCCGAAAGCGUGGGGAGCAAACAGGAUUAGAUACCCGUGUAGUC